rnacentral:rRNA from 1 species
AUUGAACGCUGGCGGCAGGCCUAACACAUGCAAGUCGAGCGAGCGGCGGACGGGUGAGUAAUGUAUGGGGACUGCCCGAUAGAGGGGGAUAACUACUGGAAACGGUAGCUAAUACCGCAUACUAUCGGAUAACCCAUAUGGGAUUAGCUAGUUGGUGGGGUAAUGGCUCACCAAGGCGACGAUCCCUAGCUGGUCUUAGAGGAUGAUCAGCCACAUGGUGACUGAGACAGUGCCCAGACUCCUACGGAGGCAGCAGUGGGGAUUAGUGCACAAUGGGCGCAAGCCUGAGUCAGGCAUGCCGCGUGUAUUAAGUUGGCCCGUGUGUUGUAAAGUUCUUUCUGGCGGGAGGCGUUACCGACAGAAGAAGCACCGGCUAACUCCGUGCCAGCAGCCGCGGUAAUAC